UGCAGAUCAGAGCCAAUAGGAGUUAA
rnacentral:piRNA from 1 species